rnacentral:rRNA from 1 species
GACGAACGCUGGCGGCGUGCCUAACACAUGCAAGUCGAGCGAUGAAGUUUCCUUCGGGAAACGGAUUAGCGGCGGACGGGUGAGUAACACGUGGGUAACCUGCCUCAUAGAGGGGAAUAGCCUCCCGAAAGGGAGAUUAAUACCGCAUAAUAUUACAGUUUUGCACGAAACAGUAAUUAAAGGAGCAAUCCGCUAUGAGAUGGACCCGCGGCGCAUUAGCUAGUUGGUGAGGUAACGGCUCACCAAGGCGACGAUGCGUAGCCGACCUGAGAGGGUGAUCGGCCACAUUGGGACUGAGACACGGCCCAGACUCCUACGGGAGGCAGCAGUGGGGAAUAUUGCACAAUGGGGGAAACCCUGAUGCAACAACGCCGCGUGAGUGAUGACGGUCUUCGGAUUGUAAAGCUCUGUCUUUGGGGACGAUAAUGACGGUACCCAAGGAGGAAGCCACGGCUAACUACGUGCCAGCAGCCGCGGUAACAC